AUACGUAGGGGGCGAGCGUUGUCCGGAAUGAUUGGGCGUAAAGGGCGCGUAGGCGGCCCGGUAAGUCUGGAGUGAAAGUCCUGUUUUUAAGAUGGGAAUUGCUUUGGAUACUGUCGGGCUUGAGUGCAGGAGAGGUAAGUGGAAUUCCCAGUGUAGCGGUGAAAUGCGUAGAGAUUGGGAGGAACACCAGUGGCGAAGGCGACUUACUGGACCGUAACUGACGCUGAGGCGCGAAAGUGUGGGGAGCAAACAGGAUUAGAUACCCUGGUAGUCCACACUGUAAACGAUGAAUGCUAGGUGUAGGGGGUAUCGACCCCUUCUGUGCCGCAGUCAACACAAUAAGCAUUCCGCCUGGGGAGUACGGCCGCAAGGUUGAAACUCAAAUGAAUUGACGGGG
rnacentral:rRNA from 1 species